rnacentral:rRNA from 1 species
GACGAACGCUGGCGGCGUGCUUAACACAUGCAAGUCGAACGGUAAGGCCCUUUCGGGGGUACACGAGUGGCGAACGGGUGAGUAACACGUGGGUGAUCUGCCCUGCACUUUGGGAUAAGCCUGGGAAACUGGGUCUAAUACCGAAUAUUCCUUGCUGGUCGCAUGGCCUGGUGGGGGAAAGCUUUUGCGGUGUGGGAUGGGCCCGCGGCCUAUCAGCUUGUUGGUGGGGUGAUGGCCUACCAAGGCGACGACGGGUAGCCGGCCUGAGAGGGUGUCCGGCCACACUGGGACUGAGAUACGGCCCAGACUCCUACGGGAGGCAGCAGUGGGGAAUAUUGCACAAUGGGCGCAAGCCUGAUGCAGCGACGCCGCGUGAGGGAUGACGGCCUUCGGGUUGUAAACCUCUUUCAAUAGGGACGAAGCGCAAGUGACGGUACCUAUAGAAGAAGCACCGGCCAACUACGUGCCAGCCGCCGCAGUAAGAC